CCCUUAGAUGUUCUGGGCCGCACGCGCGCUACACUGUUCGACGCAGCGAGUCUUAACCUUGACCGAAAGGUUUGGGUAAUCUUCAGCAAAGUCGAACGUGAUGGGGAUCGAUCAUUGCAAUUAUUGAUCGUGAACGAGGAAUUCCUAGUAAGUGCUAGUCAUCAGCUUGCGCUGAUUACGUCCCUGCCCUUUGUACACACCGCCCGUCGCUACUACCGAUUGAAUGGUUUAGUGAGAUCUCUGGAUUGACGCUGGCUAGGGGGCGACCCUUGGCCAGACUGUUGAGAAACUGCUCAAACUUGAUCAUUUAGAGGAAGUAAAAGUCGUAACA
rnacentral:rRNA from 1 species